rnacentral:rRNA from 1 species
UACGGAGGGUGCAAGCGUUAUCCGGAUUCACUGGGUUUAAAGGGUGCGUAGGUGGGUCUGUAAGUCCGUGGUGAAAUCUCUAGGCUUAACCUGGAAACUGCCAUGGAUACUAUAGAUCUUGAAUACUGUGGAGGUCAGCGGAAUUUGUCAUGUAGCGGUGAAAUGCUUAGAUAUGACAUAGAACACCAAUUGCGAAGGCAGCUGGCUACACAAAUAUUGACACUGAGGCACGAAAGCGUGGGGAUCAAACAGG